CCAAUAGCGUAUAUUAAAGUUGUUGCAGUUAAAAAGCUCGUAGUUGAAUUUCGGGAUUGGCACAUCGGUCGUGCCUUAAGGGGUAUGAACUGGUGUAGCCAAUUUCUCACCUUCUGGAGAACCGCGAUGUCCUUAAUUGGGUGCCGCGAGGAACCAGGACCUUUACUUUGAAAAAAUUAGAGUGUUUAAAGCAGGCAUUUUGCUUGAAUACAUUAGCAUGGAAUAAUAAAAUAGGACGGAUGAUUCUAUUUUGUUGGUUUCUAGGACCACCGUAAUGAUUAAUAGGGAUAGUUGGGGGCAUUAGUAUUCAAUUGUCAGAGGUGAAAUUCUUGGAUUGAUUGAAGACUAACUACUGCGAAAGCAUUUGCCAAGGAUGUUUUCAUUAAUCAAGAACGAAAGUUAGGGGAUCGAAGACGAUCAGAUACCGUCGUAGUCUUAACCAUAAACUAUGCCGACUAGGAAUCAGACGAUGUUAAUUUUUUAAUGACUCGUUUGGCACCUUACG
rnacentral:misc_RNA from 1 species